rnacentral:rRNA from 1 species
UGGGGAAUAUUGCACAAUGGAGGGAACUCAGAUGCAGCGACGCCGCGUGAGUGAUGAAGGAAUUCGUUUCGUAAAACUCUGUUCUAUGGGAAGAAAAGGACUGUACCAUAGGAGAAAGCUCCGGCUAAAUACGUGCCAGCAGCCGCGGUAAUACGUAUGGAGCGAGCGUUGUCCGGAAUUAUUGGGCGUAAAGGGUGCGCAGGCGGCUUUACAAGUUGGAUGUGAAAUAUUGUGGCUCAACCACAAACGUGCAUCCAAAACUGCAAAGCUUGAGUUAAGGAGAGGUAAGUGGAAUUCCUGGUGUAGCGGUGGAAUGCGUAGAUAUCAGGAGGAAUACCGGUGGCGAAGGCGACUUACUGGACUUAAACUGACGCUCAGGCACGAAAGCGUGGGGAGCAAACAGG